AGGCUAAUCCUGCAAGGUAUGUUUGACUUAAUAAAGGUGUAAAAAUACACCCAUUUAUUAUUUUAGGUGUAUUUUUACACCUUUAUUAAGUCAAACAUACCUUGCAGGACUAGCCU